AUUGAACGCUGGCGGCAGGCCUAACACAUGCAAGUCGAGCGGAUGAAGGGAGCUUGCUCCUGGAUUCAGCGGCGGACGGGUGAGUAAUGCCUAGGAAUCUGCCUGGUAGUGGGGGAUAACGUCCGUAAACGGGCGCUAAUACCACAUACGUCCUGAGGGAGAAAGUGGGGGAUCUUCGGACCUCACGCUAUCAGAUGAGCCUAGGUCGGAUUAGCUAGUUUGUGGGGUAAAGGCCUACCAAGGCGACGAUCCGUAACUGGUCUGAGAGGCUGAUCAGGCACAUUGGAAGGGAGACACGGUCCAGACUCCUAAGGGAGGCAGCAGUGGGGAAUAUUGGACAAUGGGCGAAAGCCUGAUCCAGCCAUGCCGAGUGUGUGACGAAGGUCUUCGGAUUGUAAAGACCUUUAAGUUGGGAGGAAGGGCAGUCAGUUAAUACCUUGCUGUUUUGACGGUACCAACAGAAUAAGCACCGGCUAACUUCGUG
rnacentral:rRNA from 1 species